UCGUGAGAGGAAUGACUACGUCUUUAUUAUGCGUUGCUGUAUAUCGGGCGCGUGAUUACAUGUAGCGUGUUUUAAUCUCCCUUAUGUGUUGUAGUAUAGCCUAGUCGUUCAUCAUAAUGAGGGGAUCAUGGCGAGGGGAAAAAAACGUCUGAAACCAGUUACUGGAUUGACAGCAAAUUCGGCCAUCGAUUAAGGUUUGAUCCAACUGUCCCCCCGGGAUGUCGUUUUUUCUGAACGCUGGUAUUUUUACCUGAAGCACAAUUUUCAUAUACUAGAUAAAAAUAUUGUAGCAUCAAAUAAUUAUUUACAAGUCAACUCCUACUCAACGGUAUACAUCUCUUGAGCAAUACAACUCUUCUGUAUCUGAUGGCCGUGCUGCUGGAACGCUGCGGUAAAAUCAUAUUUUUCUCAAAAUUAUUUCAAUAACUGACACUGAAUACGCUGGUAAUCUAUGCAACUUUAAAUAUUAUGUGCACAUGGGCCUGCGUUCCGAACUUCAGACUAAAAGUUUAGUCUGGACAGUUCUGUCCACUUCAUGUGUAUAGCGUCUAUUCUCAAACCAUUUCUAACUGCGCUAUUUGCUAUAAGCUAUAACUGAAAACCUCCCAGUUAAUUUUUAGAACCAUAUGCUGACUUAUCGUCUAUGCAUAAUAUUUUUUUUUCUGUAUCUUUAAUUUCCGAGAGCAGUGCACAGCUCGAUUCAGUACGGUUUUUUAGAAUAACAACCCAGAUAAGUAUUAUAGUUCAAGUUGGAUGCUGGGACUAUCACGGUUUGGGGAAACACGACCGGAAUGACUUUUUGACAUCAAAACUGACCUCUGAGUUUUGACGCAGUCUACGAAAUAAUAAUCCGUAUUAUCUCCCAUUUAUUCCAAAAUAAAUCAAACGAUAUGAAUGGUGUCUCGGUUCAACUAUUUGUUGCAACAACAUUUUGCCUCUUUCACUGAUGAGCGGACAGUGUCCAUCACGAUUCAGCUGGAAUGGCUCGUUUAAAUACCAGUUGGCAAUCUUAAAAACCUCAACAAUGCAUUUUUUGUCUAGCGCUAGUAAUCAGUGUUAUUCUCUUAACGAUGGAAACAUUUGUUUGCUCCGUACCCACCGAUCUCCAACAUUCGGAUGUUGAGACGAAUAUCCUUAUUAAUGACUCUCCAAAGAUUAUCACAAAUUUGGAAAUAAUUUACAUCAGUACCAUGGCGAGUCUUUUGGAAGGGAUCAACAAUUUGGCCAUAGUGCCAGAUAAGGAUACAGCUUUAUUGAAUAAUCACAGGAAGCGACGCAACAGUGAUAGCGAACCAUUUCCGUUUGACGGUCCCGAAAGUUGCACGCUAUCGGAAACCGAACUCGAUCAGAUUCUUGGUCUCUUUCAAAAGUUCACAAAAGUGGACAAGAAUUUUUGCAACGUGCAAAAUGUUGAACGCCCAAAACAAAUUGGACCUGCGACGUCAGACGCAGCUCCUUCAAAAUCGACCGAUAGUAAGGUUACACCCGUUGUUAAUCCGGUAAAAACAACCGUGAAAUCACCAGCGAGUUCGUCAAAAACGGUGGCUAGUCGUCCGGCAUCCACUAAUUCGACGAAGACAGCAAUAAGUAACCCGACAAGCAAUUCGAAAUUGAUCAGCAGCGCGUCCAAGCCAACCGUAAAUUCGACAAAAGUGGCCACUAGUCCAAAGACCGGCGUUAAAUCAACUGGGGUGGUCAGUCCGACAAAGUCAGCGACUAACUCAACAAAACCAAAAAUCAGUUCCAUUAAAUCGGCGGCUAAUGUGGUCCAAUUGGCCGUUGGAAGUUCCACGAAAUCCACAGCACGUAAUUCAACGAAACCGAUAGUUAAUCCGAAUAAAAAUUCGACCGAAACAGCCGCCGCUAACUCGUCGGCACCUUUGUUAACCAGAAGAAAACGGUCACUGCCAACCAAAUCGGGAGGAGGAUGCAAUAAGCUUAUUGAAUCAAUCCAGUUAAGCACAAGCAGUGUCAGGAGCGCCUACUGUGAUCUGUCAAAUACCGAGGAGUUAGAUCCUCGUUUCAACGAGAAGAAAGCAGCUUACGAGACCGAGGUUGCCCAACUGAGGGAGAAACUGGACAACAAAGACCUGCAAAUCGAGCAGAAGUACAAAACCAAGAUUGAACAAUUGAAUCAAGAUUUUCAAAAGCUGGAAAAGAACAUGCGGGACACUUUGGAGAAAUUAGAAUCCGUUGACAACUUAUACAGGAGAGCCCAAGCAAAAGUCGUAAUUGCAAGUUUGAAAUCCGGUGAUAUCAAAGAAGCUUUGGAAGAGUUUGAAAAAAUAGAGUCGCUAAACAAUACGAUAAUACUUAUCACGAUUGCUCUCCAAGACGAAUUUCGGAUUCCAAUCGAAAACGUCAUCAACUUUGCUCGGGGAAUGAAAGAGCUCGAAGCCGUGGUUCACGGCACAAUACAUAUUUUCUACGAAUUGGAAAAGAAACAAGGUUUUAUUGAGAAAAAAGUAGUUUCCCCAUUAAAAGAAACGGUUGAGGGAAUUAUGAAACAAUUGGUAGAACGGGAACAAAAAGGUAAUCUGGCCAGCAAUAUCGAUCGGGCUACGGUUGGUCAAUUGGUUCUUCUUUUUAACAAACUUGAUUAUUUGUUAGUUUCCCCUUUUAAAUACAACUGAUGACGUUGCUGUUGAUUUAUUAAUUUGUGUUUUGUUCUUUUAGUUAGACUGUAAUAUUCUGUAUAGUCAUAUAAAUGAAUACAACACGCAUACUGCACUGCUUAUCAAUUUUGAGAGUUGCGCCACAUGAGCUUGCUUAUGCUAUUCGAUUCGGACUGAAGUUCAGCUUUUUAAGGGGGUUCAUGUUUCUGUGUCAAAGGUCGGACAAUAUUGCAGGAAAUCCAGCGAGAGGAAUGAUGUAAAUCGUCUGAAUACGCCUACUACGCAUUCCUCCCCUCUCUAGUGAAAACAUUAGACCAGUUUAAAUUGGUGCGUGUUCGUAUUAUGGCCGAAUCUUUACUAACUCUCUUAAUGGCUAACCUCCUACAACUAAUCGUGUUUAUCUUUUCUUGGACCAGCGAUCAGGAUUUAUUCCAUACCAACGCAACCCAUGAAGGAUUCAUAGCGGAAAACAGCCUCAUCGACUUGUCAACUCAGUCUCCAUUAGCUGUCGUCAGCAAUCUAUCAUCAGCAUUCGACUGCCUUUCGCCAAAUGAAAGGUUUUACAUAAUUGAUGAUCAGUUAUCGUGUUUCCAGCUGAUGACGCAAGGACCCUGCAAACCUAAUCAGCUAUUUUAUCUGGACUCGGACGACAGCGGCAUCUGUGAUUGCGAAAACAGUCUGUUCAUCUAUUCCGCUGAAACUGGCGAAUGCUAUCAGCAAAACUCCCAGGGACCGUGUAAAGAUGGAGAAUGGUUUACGUUAACCGACGACGGAAUACUGUCGUGCGAAACGCUUCCAGACGGAUGCCUGGCCGACGGACACUACGUAUUUUGGAGCCCCGAUUAUGAAGGAUCGAGUGAAGCAAGUGAAAAACAAUGUUGGCUGUUGGGGAGCCAAGGACCUUGUUCCGAAAAUGAAACGCUAGAGCGUUACGCCACAAAUACCGUCGGAUGUCAAUUAAGAGCAUUUAAGAUUGGUAGGAGACCUCAUCACGGGGGCAACGAAAUUGAUGAACGGAAUCUGGAAGAUAAGGAAGCCGAAAGUAGAUCCCCAUCAGGUAGAUCCGUCGCUGUAGCCGGAAUGCGUCCUUGUGGUCCCGGUAGCCGCCGAACGCAGACAGGAAAGUGCCGGCCGAAUAUCGGUUAAGUCACCUUUUUUUUCAAAUAAUUGUAUUUUGUUCUUCUUUGAUGAGAUCCGUCCGAUACAAUUAAUUCAGAUCAGCAUUCCAUGGAUAACCAACCCAUUUUUAAUAUUGUCAAAGAAGUCAGAAAAACAUAAUAUCGUUUAAUGCAUUUAGUCUAAAUUUUUCGCUUGUUUCUUCAUGUAAAAUAUUUGACACGAUACACAAAAAUACUUUAAAAAAAUGCUAUACAUUACAUAUUCAAUUCAUCCUGAGUUCCUCAUUAAAAGUUAUUGAUUAGA